rnacentral:sRNA from 1 species
CAUUGUAUUUUUUUUACUUGAUUCUUAUAGCUUUUUCUUUCUCUCUUUCUUUUUUGUGUCUUGUACUUUGUAUAAUAAGCUUUGACUCUUUUUUAAUUUUCUUUUGUGUGUCUUAUAGAUAUUUUCUUUGUGGUUACCAUGGAAAUUAUAUAAAAUAUCUUAAAGUUACAACAAGGUAUUUUACACUGAGAUGGGAUUUCACCAUGCUACUCAGGCUUGUCUCGAACUCCUGGGCUCAAGCGAUCUGCCUGCCUCAGCCUCCCAAAGUGCUGGGAUUACAGGUGUGAACCACCGUGCCCAGCCAGGCCUCAAUGUUUCUGUGGACAAAUUCACUGCAUUGUGCUCACCUGGGGUGCUGCAAACUGUGAAAUGGUUUUUAGAGUUCAGAUGCAUCUUCUCACUAGCUAUGUCUUCUCAUUUUACCCAAGACCUUCUGCCAGAGCAGGGCAUACAAGAUGCAUUCCCAAAAACAAUACUGAGAGGAUAUGGAAAUUGUGGCCUUGAUAAUUUAUAUUUAAGGAAAGACUGGGAAAGUUUAGAUGAGUGUAAGUUGCAAAAAGAUUAUAAUGGACUUAACCAAUGUUC